GAUGAAGAACGUAGCGAAAUGCGAUAAGUAAUGUGAAUUGCAGAAUUCAGUGAAUCAUCGAAUCUUUGAACGCACCUUGCGCUCCUUGGUAUUCCGAGGAGCAUGCCUGUUUGAGUGUCAUUAAUAUAUCAACCUUCUCUUUUUUGAGUUGUUUGGAUGUGGGGGUUUGCUGGCCUCUUAAAUGAUUCAGCUCCCCUGAAAUGCAUUAGCAGAACAACCUGUUCAUUAGCGUGAUAAUUAUCUAUGCUAUUGAAUGUGAGGGCAGUUCAGCUUUCUAACCGUCCUUGGAGAAUUCAUCAUUAAUGUGACCUCAAAUCAGGUAGGACUACCCGCUGAACUUAAGCAUAUCAAUAAGCGGAGGA
rnacentral:misc_RNA from 1 species